GAAAAUGAGUUUGUUACCGGAGUUAUUCUCGAGGGAAUUGCAGCAGCAUUGUCUCAGGAAAGAGGAUAGGGGGGCAUGUCAAGAUCAAAUUUUUAUGGUUCUGGGUCUAUAAUUUAUGAUAUGCACUUGUGUCCAGUAUAAUUGACUCAGGCACUCUUAAUGAUAUCAAGAGUGAAAAUUUUCAGCUGCAUGGACGUCUUGCAAAGUCAAAUGAAGGACUUCAGGUGAGAACUACUGGCAGCUUUUUCCUGUAAACACUGAUGCUGGAUUUGUAUAUGGUACCAAUCAGAAAACACUAAAUUAUUAAUUUCUGUCCUGAUUUCAUCAUUCCUUAAGACAUAGAACAUAAUUUUGCCCACUGUAAAAUAAAGAGAAAAGCUGCUAUUCAGUUUCAUAUUGUACUUGUGAAGGAAGCAAGUUUCUGCAUCUGAGAUUUCUGCAUUUGUUUAGCUGUCCCACUUGCACACCAGCUUCUUCAACACCUACAGAGCCGCUCAGAAGCAGAAUCCAAAACAGAAUUAAACCUGAGAGAGGAAUCAGAA
rnacentral:lncRNA from 1 species